CAAAGAGAAGCAAAGCCGCGAGGUAGAGCAAAUCUCAAAAAAACAAUCUCAGUUCAGACUGCAGGCUGCAACUCGCCUGCACGAAGUCGGAAUUGCUAGUAAUCGUAGGUCAGCAUACUACGGUGAAUACGUUCCCGGGCCUUGUACACACCGCCCGUCAAACCAUGAGAGUUGGCAACACCCGAAGUCGGUAGUCUAACCGCAAGGAGGACGCCGCCGAAGGUGGGGUUGGUGAUUAGGGUUAAGUCGUAACAAGGUAUC
rnacentral:rRNA from 1 species